rnacentral:lncRNA from 1 species
AUUUGCAGUUGAUGAAUGAAUUUAAUGGUGAAAGAAUGUGAUUUUUUGACAUUUUUGUGAAAUUUUUGGUGGUCUUCGGGAAAUAAAUUUUUCCAUCACUUAUGAUGUCUUAAAGAACCAAUCAAGAUUCUUCGCUGCUGUCCUCGUCGCGAUCCUGUCCUGUAACUUACUCCGGAUCAUAAUAUAGAUAAGUUAAAGGAUAUGAAAUGUUAUAUGCAAAGGAUGAGGAAGUUUGGAAUUAAUUUCAUUAGAAAGUUUCCUAAUUUAAUCUGUCAUGUGCCAAGAGUUUGCCAAAGAAAAAUACAACUGGUAUUACACGACCAGAGCGUUCUAAUUACUUACUUGCCAGAGUCCAAAUUGAUAAUCAAGGAGGAUGUUCACUGAUUCAGGAUAACAUUUCAGCUGAAGACAUUGUAUGAAAAACGUAUUAUUAUAAAUAGCAAAUUACAAAUAAAUACAAAUAAUGAUUUGUUUAUGAUUAAAGAUGGCAUACAAAAUAAAAUAUUAAUGUAAAAAAUAUUUUUUCGCCAAUAAAAGAUUUUAAAAUA